rnacentral:rRNA from 1 species
ACGGAGGGGGCAAGCGUUGUUCGGAAUUACUGGGCGUAAAGCGCGCGUAGGCGGCCGUGCAAGUCAGAUAUGAAAGCCCUCGGCUCAACCGGGGAACUGCGUCUGAUACUGCAUGACUUGAGUCCGGUAGAGGAUGGCGGAAUUCCCGGUGUAGCGGUGGAAUUCGUAGAUAUCGGGAAGAACACCGAUGGCGAAGGCGGCCAUCUGGGCCGGAACUGACGCUGAGGCGCGAGAGCGAGGGGAGCAAACAG